GACAGAGGGUGCGAACGUUGUUCGGAAUUACUGGGCGUAAAGCGCAUGUAGGCGGCAGCGCAAGUCGGGCGUGAAAUCCCACGGCUCAACCGUGGAAGUGCACUCGAAACUGCGCAGCUAGAGUCCUGGAGAGGAAGGUGGAAUGCUUGGUGUAGAGGUGAAAUUCGUAGAUAUCAAGCGGAACACCGGUGGCGAAGGCGGCCUUCUGGACAGUUCCUGACGCUGAGGCACGAAGGUCAGGGGAGCAAACGGG
rnacentral:rRNA from 1 species